rnacentral:rRNA from 1 species
AUGCAAAGAACUUUGAAAAGAGAGUUAAAGAGUACCUGAAAUUGCUGAAAGGGAAGCGAAGGAAACCAGUGUUGGACCGAUCAUAUUUCCCUGGUAGCUUGCUACUUGGGCGCUGUGUUGGGUCUUGGGUUGUUUUUGGUUGGCAGUAUCGGAAGAGCGCUAAAAGAGUUGAUUUUGGUUGCUAGCGAUAUUGCUGACUGAGGAGGACGAAAUGGUUUUCUUUACCCCGUCUUGAAACACGGACCAAGGAGUCUAACAUAUGUGCGAGUACAGGGGUGUCAAACCCCCGUGCGUAAUGAAAGUGACAGUGGUUGGACCUUUUGGGCACAAUCCGCCGGCCUCAAUCCUUCGGGAGAACGGUCUGAGUGUGAGCAUACAUGUUGGGACCCGAAAGAUGGUGAACUAUGCCUGAAUAGGGUGAAGCCAGGGGAAACUCUGGUGGAGGCUCGUAGCGAUUCUGACGUGCAAAUCGAUCGUCAAAUUUGGGUAUAGGGGCGAAAGACUAAUCGAACCAUCUAGUAGCUGGUUCCCUCCGAAAUUUCCCUCAGGAUAGCUGCGAUCGGAGUUCAAUUUUAUCA